rnacentral:rRNA from 1 species
UACAGAGGGUGCAAGCGUUGUUCGGAAUUAUUGGGCGUAAAGGGCGUGUAGGCGGUUUGCUAAGUCAACCGUGAAAGCUCCCGGCUAAACUGGGAGAGGUCGGAUGAGACUGCAGCGCUAGUGGGUCGUAGAGGAAUGUGGAAUUCCGGGUGUAGUGGUGAAAUGCGUAGAGAUCCGGAGGAACACCAGAGGCGAAGGCAGCUUGCUGGGCCUUUUCUGACGCUGAGGAACGAAAGCGUGGGGAGCGAACAGG